CAAACACCCGAACUGCAUACAAGGGAAUGCUCCAAACACCCGAACGGCAUAGAAGGGAAUAAGGUAGCACUCCAAAUACACGAACAGGAACCAUACGAAUUGCUGCUACCAGACGAACAGGAAAAGCUCCCAAGCGGCUUACACACCUGGCAAUCAGUCCUUAGCAGCAUACAGUAAAUCCCCCCAAAGACGAGACAAGGCUCCGUGUUGAGGGUCAAGCAGUGGUCUGUUUAAUGAGGGCUACCUGCCCAGUAUUUAUGAAGGUCUCCAACCUGGUGGACACUCCCCUAGGGGACCAAAUGGGAGACUGUGACAAAAGACAGACAAG